rnacentral:rRNA from 1 species
AGUGAACGCUGGCGGUAGGCCUAACACAUGCAAGUCGAACGGCAGCACAGGAGAGCUUGCUCUCUGGGUGGCGAGUGGCGGACGGGUGAGGAAUACAUCGGAAUCUACUUUUUCGUGGGGGAUAACGUAGGGAAACUUACGCUAAUACCGCAUACGACCUACGGGUGAAAGCAGGGGACCUUCGGGCCUUGCGCGAUGGAAUGAGCCGAUGUCGGAUUAGCUAGUUGGCGGGGUAAAGGCCCACCAAGGCGACGAUCCGUAGCUGGUCUGAGAGGAUGAUCAGCCACACUGGAACUGAGACACGGUCCAGACUCCUACGGGAGGCAGCAGUGGGGAAUAUUGGACAAUGGGCGCAAGCCUGAUCCAGCCAUACCGCGUGGGUGAAGAAGGCCUUCGGGUUGUAAAGCCCUUUUGUUGGGAAAGAAAUCCAGCUGGUUAAUACCCGGUUGGGAUGACGGUACCCAAAGAAUAAGCACCGGCUAACUUCGUGCCAGCCGCCGCAGUAA